rnacentral:rRNA from 1 species
UACGUAGGGGGCAGGCGUUGUCCGGAAUUAUUGGGCGUAAAGCGCGCGCAGGCGGCUUCUUAAGUCUGAUGUGAAAGCCCACGGCUCAACCGUGGAGGGUCAUUGGAAACUGGGAAGCUUGAGUGCAGAAGAGGAGAGUGGAAUUCCACGUGUAGCGGUGAAAUGCGUAGAUACGUGGAGGAACACCAGUGGCGAAAGCGGCUCUCUGGUCUGUAACUGACGCUGAGGCGCGAAAGCGUGGGGAG